AAUGAGUUUAGAUUUAUAUACCCAUCACAUACUAGGUAAAACUAGGGCUGUCAAAGUUAACGCGAUAAUAACGCCCAGCCGGCCCGGCUAUAUCAACAAAUCAAGGAUUACAACACACACAGAGGGAGAGCGACUUCAUUCUCUGCUCAGGUAGACAUUACUCCUCCAUAUCUUCACAUAGCAAAGAGUUAUUUGCUGCUAUAUUGAUGCUCUGGAUAUCGAAUUUAGCACCUUGAAACAAUAAAGUCAUAACUUUACGAGAAAAACAG